rnacentral:rRNA from 1 species
UGGGGAAUAUUGGACAAUGGGCGCAAGCCUGAUCCAGCCAUGCCGCGUGAGUGAUGAAGGCCCUAGGGUUGUAAAGCUCUUUUGUACGGGAAGAUAAUGACGGUACCGUAAGAAUAAGCCCCGGCUAACUUCGUGCCAGCAGCCGCGGUAAUACGAAGGGGGCUAGCGUUGCUCGGAAUCACUGGGCGUAAAGGGUGCGUAGGCGGGUUUUUAAGUCAGAGGUGAAAUCCUGGAGCUCAACUCCAGAACUGCCUUUGAUACUGAAAGUCUUGAGUAUGGGAGAGGUGAGUGGAACUGCGAGUGUAGAGGUGAAAUUCGUAGAUAUUCGCAAGAACACCAGUGGCGAAGGCGGCUCACUGGCCCAUAACUGACGCUGAGGCACGAAAGCGUGGGGAGCAAACAGGAUUAGAUACCCGCGUAGUCC